rnacentral:misc_RNA from 1 species
GAUGAAGAACGCAGCGAAAUGCGAUAAGUAGUGUGAAUUGCAGAAUUCAGUGAAUCAUCGAAUCUUUGAACGCACCUUGCACCCUUUGGCAUUCCGAAGGGUAUGCUCGUUUGAGUGUCAUUGUACUCUCACACUCCCAAUUGCUUUGGAUUGGGAGCGGUGGACUUGGGUGUUGCUGCUUGACUGAGGCUCACCUGAAAUAUGUUAGUGCACCUCUUGAUUGGACAUAGUACGGCGUGAUAAGUGUCUUCGCCGGCUCCUCGCAAAGAGGGUGGCCGAUCGGGAGCUCUGUUGCUUCAAACUGUCUUCGGACAAUCUUCUGGCGACUUGACCUCAAAUCGAGUAGGACUACCCGCUGAACUUAAGCAUAUCAAUAAGCGGAGGA